rnacentral:rRNA from 1 species
UAGAGUUUGAUCCUGGCUCAGAAUCAACGCUGGCGGCGUGCCUAACACAUGCAAGUCGCACGAGAAAGGGUAGCAAUACCUGAGUACAGUGGCGCACGGGUGAGUAACACGUGGGAACGCGCCCUUCGGUCUGGAAUAACCCAGGGAAACUUGGGCUAAUACCGGAUACGCCCUUACGGGGAAAGAUUUAUUGCCGAAGGAACGGCCCGCGUCCGAUUAGCUAGUUGGUGGGGUAACGGCCCACCAAGGCGACGAUCAGUAGCUGGUCUGAGAGGAUGAUCAGCCUCACUGGGACUGAGACACGGCCCAGACUCCUACGGGAGGCAGCAGUGGGGAAUAUUGGACAAUGGGCGCAAGCCUGAUCCAGCCAUGCCGCGUGGGUGAUGAAGGCCCUAGGGUUGUAAAGCCCUUUCGGCGGGGAAGAUAAUGA